rnacentral:rRNA from 1 species
AGAGUUUGAUCCUGGCUCAGAACGAACGCUAGCGGCGGGCUUAAGACAUGCAAGUCGAACGAGAAAGUUCCUUCGGGAAUGAGUAAAGUGGCGGACGGGUGCGUAACACGUGAGCAACCUGCCUUUUUGUGGGGGAUAACCUCUCGAAAGAGGGGCUAAUACCGCAUAAUGCUGAGGAGUCCACGGGCUCCUUUGAGAAAGCUGCCCUCUACACGUAAGGUGGCGCAGAAAGAUGGGCUCGCGUUCCAUUAGCUUGUUGGUGAGGUAACGGCUCACCAAGGCUGCGAUGGAUAGCUGGUCUGAGAGGAUGACCAGCCACACUGGGACUGAGAUACGGCCCAGACUCCUACGGGAGGCAGCAGUCAGGAAUAUUGUGCAAUGGGGGAAACCCUGACACAGCCACGCCGCGUGGGUGAUGAAGGCCUUCGGGUCGUAAAACCCUGUCAGGAGGGACGAAACACAGGCCGGUUAAUACCCGGUCUGCUUGACGGUACCUCCAGAGGAAGCACCGGCUAACUACGUGCCAGCAGCCGCGGUAAAACGUAGGGUGCAAGCGUUGUUCGGAAUUACUGGGCGUAAAGCGCGUGUAGGUGGUUGGUUAAGUCCAGCGUGAAAGCCCUCGGCUCAACCGGGGAAGUGCGUUGGAAACUGGCCAACUCGAGUUCGGGAGAGGGAAGUGGAAUUCCUGGUGUAGCGGUGAAAUGCGUAGAUAUCAGGAGGAACACCAGUGGCGAAGGCGGCUUCCUGGCCCGAAACUGACACUAAAACGCGAAAGCGUGGGGAUCAAACAGGAUUAGAUACCCUGGUAGUCCACGCCGUAAACGGUGGGUACUAGGUGUGGGAGGCAUUGACCCCUUCCGUGCCGACGCUAACGCAUUAAGUACCCCGCCUGGGGAGUACGGCCGCAAGGCUAAAACUCAAAGGAAUUGACGGGGGCCCGCACAAGCGGUGGAGUAUGUGGUUCAAUUCGAUGCAACGCGCAGAACCUUACCUGGGCUUGAAAAUCAUGCGAAUCCCGCGGAAACGCGGGAGUGCCCUUCGGGGAACGCUUGAACAGGUGCUGCAUGGCUGUCGUCAGCUCGUGUCGUGAGAUGUUGGGUUAAGUCCCGCAACGAGCGCAACCCUUGCCUCUAGUUGCCAGCUCUUCGGGAGGGGACUCUAGAGGGACCGCCGGUGAUAAACCGGAGGAAGGUGGGGAUGAUGUCAAGUCCUCAUGGCCCUUAUGCCCAGGGCUACACACGUACUACAAUGGCUGGUACAAAGGGCUGCGAUCCCGCGAGGGGGAGCCAAUCCCAAAAAACCAGCCCCAGUUCAGAUUGGAGUCUGCAACUCGACUCCAUGAAGGUGGAAUCGCUAGUAAUCGCGGAUCAGCACGCCGCGGUGAAUACGUUCCCGGGCCUUGUACACACCGCCCGUCACACCACGAAAGUUGGCUGGACCAGAAGUCGCUGGACCAACCCGCAAGGGGGGUAGGCGCCAAAGGUCUGGUUGAUGAUUGGGGUGAAGUCGUAACAAGGUA